AAAUUUUCAUAUCCCGCUCCUAAUUUCCCCAAUGUCUCUCUCAAAACCUAAAACCCUAGAUAGGCGAAUGGGCGAUUCCCCAGUCGUUCCUCCGCAUCACCGAUGAUUCACCAGUUGUUCUGCAUAAAACCAAGAUCGGUGACUCCUUAAUCGUUCCUCUAACCAAUUUCUGUCACACUUUGCUGGUACAUGGAAGUUGUUCUCGAUUUCACGUCGUUUCACGGAUCUGAGGUAAUUGAAGGUUAAUUUGAUUCUAUUUUUUGUAGUAUCAUGGCACGUAGUACAGCAGAUGCCCGCAGAUGUCGUGGUUUUGUGGCAGGAGGCGGCAGAGGGCAAGGUUGAGAUAAUUGGGCGUGAACCGUCACACUCAGAGAUGUGGAAACGAACACAUCUUAGAAAAGGAAGUAGGCCGUUUGAUAAAGAUAUUGAUUGUAGCAGUUCGGUAGUUGAGAACGUUGAUUUGGAGGACGUUGAUUUAGAGGGUGUUGAAUUAGAAGGGAUUGUACAAGAAAAAAAAAUCGGCAUGGGUUGACGAUAAGGCACAUGAGACUUGGGUGAAUUAUGAGGGAUAUCAUUUGGAGACGUAUGGGGAGGAAAGUAGCCAACACCCAGAACUUGACAAAGAACUGUGGUACCGAGCUUCCGGGGGAAAGAAGAGAGGCAAAGUAUAUGGGUUAAGCAAUCUUAAGAAUGAUUUUAACGUUCAGCAUCAUGGCAAACAAGACCAAGAGAUCGAAAGAUUGAACGUGAUUACCCAAGAUAUAGUGAAAGAAAAUGAAGAAGAAAAAGAAAGGUUGAACGAUAUUAUUGCGGGAUUGGUGGUGGAAAAAGAGAAAGAUAAGGCGGAGAAAGAGGCUAUGAAUGAGAGGAUGGCAAACAUUGAAGCGAUGCUAAAAGCUAGGUUUCAAAACGUAUAAACACUUUGUUUUGAAUAUGUAUUUUGUUAUGAUAACUUUGGUAUUUGAGGUUUCAAGUGGGAUGUUUUAUAUAA